GGGACUAUAUAGUACAUAUUUUUGGCUUUGCAAGCCGUGUGGUGUCUGUUCCAACCACUCAACUCUGCUAUCUUAGAGAGCGGCCAUAGAAGAUACUUUAACAAAUGGGCGUGGCUUUUAUUCAACAAAAAUAUUUGGCCAUUCUUGGCCCUUGGGCAAUAGUUUGCUGAGCUUUGGAGUAUGUGGGAAGGUAGACCACUAGAAUCUUGAGGUUUUACUCGCAGUUUUGAAAACUGAUGUAUGCAAAACAUUUAAUGCCUACAUCACCUUAGAAAUGAUUACUUAUUGGCCAGCACGGUGGCUCACCCUUGUAAUCCCAGCCACUUUGGGAGGCCAAGGUGGGAGGAUCAGUUGAGGUCAGGAGUUUGAGACCAGCCUGGCCAACAUAGUGGAACCCUGUCUCUACCAAAAAAUACGAAUAUUAGCCAGGUGUGGUGGUGCGUGCCUGUAGUCACAGCUGCUCGGGAGGCUAAGGCAGAAGAAAUUGCCUGAAUCGGGGAGGCAGAGGCUACAGUGAGCCGAGAUCACACCACUGCACUUCAGCCUGGGGUGACAGAGCGAGACCCUGUCUCAAAAAAAUAAAAAAUAAAAAAAAGAAGUUAUUAGUUGUUGGCAAUAUGAUUCAAAAUAUAUUCUGUGACUUUUCUUGAUAUUGCUGAAUAUUUUAAAGAUUUGAAUUUAUGUGAAUAGGGUAAUAAAAACUCAACAUUUCUUCAAAUCAAAAAUUCAAAUGUAUAAAAUAUGAUAUGUUCCAAACUCUUGAUCUGUGCUGCCAUUUUACUUUAAUAUAAAUGGUCAAGUCGGAAAGGGGAGUAAGAGAAAGGAUCUGCUUAAUGCUUUUUUGGUUCCAUUUAGUGUGUCAGAGACUUCCUUUUCUUUUGACGUACUGGACAAUGCAGCAUUACUAUUUGCUAUUAAACCCUAUUAGAGAAAAACAUUUAAGGCAAUUAGCACAGUCUUAACAUGUACAAAUGCGCAAUAAAUGUUGAAUGAAUUAAUCUCAUAGUUUCUACUUAGUCUUACUCAAUUGUAUAAUGCAAAUAAGUGAGAGGACAGGAUCUGGGGUCAAACCUCAGUUUAAACGGAGGCUUAUUAUGGAAAAGUUCGCUUGCAAUUGCUUACUGAGAAUGUCAUCCAUGCCAUUAAAUUGGUACUUGCAGCAAUGUUUCCAGUAAUUAAACAGAAGCUGACGGGAUGGUUUCUUAAAUCAAGAUAAUUAAUUGUCUCUAGAGAAGGUGUGUUUCCAUGAGGUUAGAAAGAAGGCAGCUUCUUGAGGGCUUGAGUAGGGUUCAUUCAAAAGCAUUUACUUGCCAGGCAUUUCCCGCCACAGAAAUGAUUUAGAAGAUAACUUAAUAGAGAUCUUUUCCUAGUAGCCAAGAAAAAAAACAGCCUCUGGGAAAAAACCCAAAACCAAAGCUUUCUAGCUGGCUUGGGCAUGAGGAGAGGAGUUGCCACCUUUCCGGAUGCCAUUUCCACAGCAGAGUGGUAGGAAAGCAGAAAUGGAAAGCAAAACGUCUCACUCCUAGACAUGUGAAUUGGCUGCCUGGCCAAUGGAAAAGGAUAAACAAUGAGGCAGGUAAAAAGAGCUUUUGGGGAGCAUGUAAGUAGAAAUGAAUUUUAAGUCACGUUACAGAUCUUACCACAUAUGUUUAGUGGUUGACAUAGUCUCAGAGUAAGGUUAUGAGCAGCAGUGUUUGCCUCCGCUAUGAUGUAGGAGGUUGUUUUAGCUCCCUCACUUCUUACCCGAUGCUCGGGCCACUUUUACUCUGCCUAGGACCUGUGACCUUGUGGGUGAAACUGGGCAUGAAUGCAACUCUCUGAAUCCACGCCGAGCCUGGAGAGCUUAGCUUAGAAAUGGACAGAAACGAAGGGCAGGCGGGUGAAGCGGAGAUGACGUUGCACCUGAGGAACGGCCUUUGGAAAGAGCUGCUGCCUGGCAGCCGGUCACCACAGAGCACUGGAACCAGCACUGCUCCCCCAACCUGGUAACAGCGGGUCCAGUGUUCCAGCCUGGGCAGUGUCCAGCUGGCAGGGCUGAGGUGGUUGCGCCCACAUCUCAGGCUGCAUGGUCCAGCGAGCUCAGGUGUUUGAUCUUUUUUCGUUACCAUGGUGAGAAGUGUGCUAGCGGGGAAAAAAGACAAAUGUAUCCCAUAGAUGAGUAGAUGAGUAUAUAUGGGGGCGAGGGGUUCUCCAUGAAAUGGUCCUCAUUGAUUUUUUGUUUCAUUUGUUUUUAUGUUUUAUCUUGAUGGAGAAUUUGUGAUUUUCCUUCUCAGAAAAAUAGAGCUAUACUUACAUUUCAUAAUUUAUACUGCUGAUUUAUGCCACUGCGUUUUGACAGUUGUAUCAUAUCACCCAGCCUUCUCUUCUCCAGGAAGUGGUGUAUUCAUGGGUCCCCUGAGAUUCCAGCACUGCUCAUGAUGAGUGUAGAAAUUCUAUCUUGUCUAUCUUGCAGAAUGACGGAUUAGAAUAUGGCAUAGAUUCUUAAUGCUGUCUGUUGGGAAAACAAUAUUCUAAAGAUGAUUAGAAAGACAGUUUUAAUAUUAUGUGGAAUUCUGAUAUUACAUAUUACCGUUUAGAAAUACUACAGAGAAUUUAUAAUGAAAGCAUAAAAUAAUUGAAUGAGGUUUUUAAUAGUCCAUUAGAAAAUUGUUGAAAAUUUUUUCCUAAUUCCUUUAAGGGAAUUUUAUUAUAAUUGUCUUGAUUGUUGUUUCAAUCAAAUGGCAGAAGUGAAAAGGGCGAAAUUAUCAAGGCAAGGGGUACGAGGAGGAGGCGCUGGGUAGGAUGCU
rnacentral:lncRNA from 1 species